rnacentral:rRNA from 1 species
UACGGUGGGGGCAAGCGUUGUUCGGAAUUACUGGGCGUAAAGGGCGCGUAGGCGGUUUGCUAAGUUGGACGUGAAAACUCUGGGCUUAACCCAGAGCCUGCAUCCAAAACUGGCAAGCUAGAGUUUUGGAGGGGGAAGCGGAAUUCCUGGUGUAGCAGUGAAAUGCGUAGAUAUCAGGAGGAACACCGGUGGCGAAGGCGGCUUCCUGGACAAAAACUGACGCUGAGGCGCGAAAGCUAGGGGAGCAAACAGG